CGGGCUUGUACACACCGCCGUCACACCACGAAAGUCGGCAAUACCCGAAGCCGGUGAGCUAACCCCUCGGGGAGGCAGCCGUCGAAGGUAGGGUUGAUGAUUGGGGUG
rnacentral:rRNA from 1 species